UGGCGAACGGGUGAGUAAUGUAUCGGAACGUGCCCAGUAGCGGGGGAUAACUACGCGAAAGCGUAGCUAAUACCGCAUACGCCCUACGGGGGAAAGCAGGGGAUCGCAAGACCUUGCACUAUUGGAGCGGCCGAUAUCGGAUUAGCUAGUUGGUGGGGUAACGGCUCACCAAGGCGACGAUCCGUAGCUGGUUUGAGAGGACGACCAGCCACACUGGGACUGAGACACGGCCCAGACUCCUACGGGAGGCAGCAGUGGGGAAUUUUGGACAAUGGGGGAAACCCUGAUCCAGCCAUCCCGCGUGUGCGAUGAAGGCCUUCGGGUUGUAAAGCACUUUUGGCAGGAGGAAA
rnacentral:rRNA from 1 species